CAAGAUUGAGACAUUGCGAAAAGGUAGCAAUGCCUGUCGUUAUUUAAUUAACUCUCAACUUGUUUUGGGCGUUUUCAUCUCAGAACUUUGACCCUCUCACAUUACUUUACGUUCAUGAAAGUCAAAUGUAACAUUUUGUCGCAUAGAAUGUCUAGUUUAGCGCCCCGUUGUACUGAAAGACAGCUAACUUCGACUGUUUGAAUUAUCGAUGCUAACCAAGCAAGCUAGCACUAGCUAGCUGGUAGCAGACCUUUUUCUGUCUGCAGGUUGGUCCGUGAAUCGAAGCCCAACAAAGUGAAACUCAGUUCACCACUCAGGUUCAAGGCUCGUCACACUCAGCACAGCAGGCUCUGCCUCUGUGGGGUCACAGUGUUGUGUCGUAGCCGGCUGGACACACCUUUAGUCCUAAUGGACCAGAGGUCCUUUCUGUAGGUGAGCAGGUUUAGCAGGUAUAGGAGGUUUGGUGUAGCCAGGUGUGCUGUGAGGAUCAUCUGCGAAUGCCUUCCUGAGCUGUGCCACGCGCCCUCCGUAGUCUGACUUGUUCUCUGACACGAUCUCUGAGGAGGGGAGAGAGGAGAAAUCUUGGCUUUGAGCAGCGGCUGGUUGCCAUGGCUACUAAGAUGGGGCCUGUAGAGAGGAGUCCAGUCGCCGAGGUUGUCCGAGUUGCUGCCUGAUUCACUGUCGCUGUCCUCGGCGGGGUCCUUGGGGUCGUCAUCGGCGCUGCAGGAGUCCUCCUCAGACCACUGGUCGUGCGGUGAAGCCGGGUCACCCUGAAUAUAUAAGUGGGACACAGUAAGACUCGGAUACACUGUUCAUUUUAACUCCAAACCCAAACACAAACACAUGAACUCACGCUAACAUCUGUGAGGGACAGCUGGAUGUCUUCUUUAAAGCCGUGCUGCUGGGCCUCUCUUCCUGGCAGCAUGUCUGCCGUCUGGAUGCCAUUCAUAUUAUCACUGUGGACUCUGGAAGACAAAGACGUCCAUUUUUAGUCCCGCAGACUGCCGUCCUAACCUUUGAAUCAAUCCUCCAGUUAGUCAUAUGGCAAAUAACUUCAAUAAUCCAGUUAGGACGAGGAGACGGCUCGCUGAAUGAAACACUUUAGUUCACAGUUGAUCUUAUCAAAGUCAAUCAGUGUUAUGUCGUUUGUUGAAGGGACUGAAGAAAACUUUAUUACGUAGAUGUUGUUAUGUGUUGGAUAAAAACAGUCCAUCACUUAAAAAACAAAAAAGGAGGAUUCAGUAGAAUUUUAACUAAUAGAUAUCAUCAGAAACUUCCCCAAUUAAUGACUUGCAUCAAAACAAUUAUAUUUCAUAUUACAAGUUUUUAGAUUUUAAGAAAUGUUAUGUUGAAAUAUGCAAAUGAGGCAUUGUCUUAUUAAAUAUGUGCUAAUUUGCAUAACUAUCCAGAUCAUAAAUAUGAACAUUGGAUAAAGCUUCUUGUUCCACUGUGUUGACAUAUUAAAGUCAAAGGGUUUUACAGAGGGAAUUUUGGAAAUCUCUUUUUAUCACUCCAUAAAUCAGACAAUGCUGUCAGUUUUUUGGUUUUUAGGAAUAAUAUGUUAUGUGUAUGUAUAAAUCAGGCUAUAAAUGAUAUAUGAACUAACCCCUCUGUAAAAACGUUCAGAAUAUAGACAGGAAUGAAAACAGAGACGCAAUAGACAAAGUAUAGUUAAAUAAACCCCUAAAUAUGUAUUUUGGUUGUUGUCUUUUGCUGCCCAUUGCACGACAGAAAGUAUGUUUUUCCCUGCCGUGUCAGCCUUAA